rnacentral:rRNA from 1 species
GUGGGGAAUAUUGGACAAUGGGCGAAAGCCUGAUCCAGCCAUGCCGCGUGUGUGAAGAAGGUCUUCGGAUUGUAAAGCACUUUAAGUUGGGAGGAAGGGCAGUAAGUUAAUACCUUGCUGUUUUGACGUUACCAACAGAAUAAGCACCGGCUAACUUCGUGCCAGCAGCCGCGGUAAUACGAAGGGUGCAAGCGUUAAUCGGAAUUACUGGGCGUAAAGCGCGCGUAGGUGGUUCAGCAAGUUGAAGGUGAAAUCCCCGGGCUCAACCUGGGAACUGCCUCCAAAACUACUGAGCUAGAGUACGGUAGAGGGUAGUGGAAGUUCCUGUGUAGCGGUGAAAUGCGUAGAUAUAGGAAGGAACACCAGUGGCGAAGGCGACUACCUGGACUGAUACUGACACUGAGGUGCGAAAGCGUGGGGAGCAAACAGGAUUAGAUACCCGGGUAGUCC